UGCGCAGGCGGCCUGCUAAGUCGGAUGUGAAAGCCCCGGGCUUAACCUGGGAAUUGCAUUCGAUACUGGCAGGCUAGAGUCUGGUAGAGGUAAGCGGAAUUCCGGGUGUAGCGGUGAAAUGCGUAGAUAUCCGGAGGAACAUCAGUGGCGAAGGCGGUUUACUGGACCAAGACUGACGCUCAGGCACGAAAGCGUGGGUAGCAAACA
rnacentral:rRNA from 1 species